GAGUCCCACACUACUACGGGAGGCAGCAGUGGGGAAUAUUGCACAAUGGGCGGAAGCCUGAUGCAGCAACGCCGCGUGAGGGAUGACGGCCUUCGGGUUGUAAACCUCUUUUAGCAGGGAAGAAGCGAGAGUGACGGUACCUGCAGAAAAAGCACCGGCUAACUACGUGCAAGCAGCCGCGGUAAUACGUAGGGUGCAAGCGUUAUCCGGAAUUAUUGGGCGUAAAGAGCUCGUAGGCGGUUUGUCGCGUCUGCUGUGAAAUCCCGAGGCUCAACCUCGGGCCUGCAGUGGGUACGGGCAGACUAGAGUGCGGUAGGGGAGAUUGGAAUUCCUGGUGUAGCGGUGGAAUGCGCAGAUAUCAGGAGGAACACCGAUGGCGAAGGCAGAUCUCUGGGCCGUAACUGACGCUGAGGAGCGAAAGGGUGGGGAGCAAACAGGCUUAGAUACCCUGGUAGUCCACCCCGUAAACGUUGGGAACUAGUUGUGGGGUCCUUUCACGGAAUUCCGUGA
rnacentral:rRNA from 1 species